UUUAACAAAUUUUGACUAUUAGAUUUAAGCGAAAUGGUAAAAAAGGAAUUUAACAGGAACUCGCAUUUGAAGGUGCAGUUUUUGCAGUUUCUCCUGUUUUUUUGUCUAAUGUCUUAAAUGUCUGAUUGACUGGAAAAUAAAGCCAACAAAGGACACCAAGUUAAUAUCAGCCUCAAGUUUUAUUUCACCACACUUCUGUCCGUGAUCCCUUAUAAGUAUACUUUUAACUAGAUAUCCAAAGACACUCGAAAAUGGCCGAGGCUGCUACAUCCAAAGCAAUAUCAAAAAUCACGGAACAAGCAAUAUUCUUAUAUGGAGUGGACGAACAAGAGCACUAGUAACGGAGAUGGGACGGAUACGAUCUUUCUUGAAGGAUGUUGAUUCAAGAAAACAAACAGAACAGAGAGUCAAAAACUGGGCUGAAGAAAUCAGGGACCUUGCAGAAGAUGCUGACGGCAUAGUUGAGAAAUUUGCUGCUGAGGUAAAACAGAGACAAGGGGAAGAUACUGCUUAUUGUUUUUGUACAAUGUUAGCAAGCGUAGUGAAAGAAGUUAUAGUCAGGUACAAAAUUGGCUGGAAUAUAGGAAAAAUCAACAAGAGGAUCAAAAACCUCACAAAUAGUUUGACAACCUAUGGUAUAAGUCAUGGUAUAAAUGGAGGAGAAAUAUCUUUUAGAGAAGUGAUAUUACAAAGUGGAGCUAUUGGUGUUGAGAGAUGGGGAGGUUCCGGGGGGAGGUUCCGGGGGAGGACAUUGGAGUUAUAGGCCUAAAGGAUUAGUAAAACAGAUAGUUGUCAAGCAUGGAUCGAUUAUAGAUUCUAUAAUGUUUAAGAGCAUUCAAGAAAAUGGUGUCAUGUAUUUGGUGGUUCUGGAGGUCAUUGCAUGACUGAGAUCAACAUAGACUGUCCUUCGGAGCAUUUGACAGGCACAAGUGGGACAUUUGGACUCUUUGGUCCCUACCUUAUCGUAAAAUCCAUCAAGUUUCACACUAACCUUAGCCUAACUGAUACCAACUUCUCAUUUAUCAUGCAAGGUGGGGUGGUUGUUGGAUUCCACGGAUCUUCAGGGUUAUUUCUUGAUGCCAUUGGUUUGUAUGUAGUGCCGGCACGCAUCAGUUUACUUUCUCAGUGAGCGCACUGUCUCAUCAAUAUCUAUCUGAGCUUAGUAUGUCCAUGAAGUUAUAAGUCAUCAUUCAUCAAUAUGUAUCGGAGAGCUAGCAUGUCCGUAAAGUUAUAGGUCAUCAAUAUUUAGCUGAGCUAGCCUAUGAUGUGCAUAUGUAUAUGAAUAUGACCUAGCAUGUCCACAAAAUUAUUUGUCAUAUCGAUCGGUAAGAAGGAAACUGACUUGGUCGUCAAACGAUCAAUUAAUAAUCACCGAAACAGCGUUUAAUGUUGCUUUAUUAUCAGUAUAUGUCCGAGCUAGCUUCUUUGUAAGGUUACAACUAGAGGUGGCAAAAUGGGUAAAAAAUAUGGUUAUCCGCCCGACCCAACCCAUUUAAAAUGGGUUGGAUACCAAUCCAUUUAAAAUGGGUUAAAUAUGAGUCAACCCAUAUUAUCCACUUAAAAUAUGGGUAAAUUAAUGGGUAAAAUGGAUAAACGUCCCACAACAUAUAGAGUGUGUUUGGUAUGGACGAAAUGUUUUCCAAUUUUCUCAUUUUUGAUUGGUCAAAAUGUU